AUUGAACGCUGGCGGCAGGCCUAACACAUGCAAGUCGAGCGAGCGGCGGACGGGAGAGUAAUGUAUGGGGAUCUGCCCGAUAGAGGGGGAUAACUAAUGGAAACGGUGGCUAAUACCGCAUACGAUCGGAUGAACCCAGAUGGGAUUAGCUAGUGGGUGGGGUAAAGGCUCACCUAGGCGACGAUCCCUAGCUGGUCUGAGAGGAUGAACAGCCACACUGGGACUGAGACACGGCCCAGACUCCUACGGGAGGCAGCAGUGGGGAAUAUUGCACAAUGGGCGCAAUCCUGAUGCAGCCAUGCCGCGUGUAUGAAGAAGGCCUUAGGGUUGUAAAGUACUUUCAGCGGGGAGGCGUUACCCGCAGAAGAAGCACCGGCUAACUCCGUGCCAGCAGCCGCGGUAAUAC
rnacentral:rRNA from 1 species